UUGUAGGAUUUUGUGAUCGCCUUGAUCAUAUGAUUAAGGAGGAAAGUCCGAACACCAUAGAAUGGGGUAACCGGUAACGCCGGUCAUUGCUUAUAGCAAUAUAAGCGAGAGGGAAAGUGCCACAGAGACUAUACUACACUCACCCAGGUGCGUGGAAAGGUGAAAAGCCUCGCAAAGCGAGGAGCUCCCGAGUAAUUGGGAUCGCUCGGCAAACCCUACCCGGUGCAAGGUGGGAUGGUAGCAAGGAAUAUCCUGCAUUCUACAGGCCCUUACGCUACCCACCGCUUAAGCUCAUUGUGCAAACAGUGAGAUAGAUAGAUGAUCACAUUCGCCUCGUGCGAACACAGAAUUCGGCUUAUAAAUCGUACAUCAGC
rnacentral:RNase_P_RNA from 1 species